rnacentral:rRNA from 1 species
CAAUCGCCGCGGUAAUACGUAGGUGGCAAGCGUUGUCCGGAAUUAUUGGGCGUAAAGGGCUCGCAGGCGGUUUCUUAAGUCUGAUGUGAAAGCCCCCGGCUCAACCGGGGAGGGUCAUUGGAAACUGGGAAACUUGAGUGCAGAAGAGGAGAGUGGAUUUCCACGUGUAGCGGUGAAAUGCGUAGAGAUGUGGAGGAACACCAGUGGCGAAGGCAACUCUCUGGUCUGUAACUGACGCUGAGGAGCGAAAGCGUGGGGAGCGAACAGGAUUAGAUACCCGGGUAGUCCCUGUCUCUUAUAC